UUUAUCACUGAUAGGUUUUUACUUAACUUGACUUUCAUUUUUAGUUGAUUUCCAUUAUUUAUGAAUGAAAUAAAUAGUAUAUAGUUUACAAAGUCUAAAUUAACUGAAAACUCCAUCAUUUUUUUUAUGUACAUACUACUAAUUAAUUUUUUUUAUUUAUUAUUUUACAAUUUUUAUAAAAUAAGGACAAUUUAGCUAUCUAAACUUUAACAUGAUAUUUUCCUAUAAUUUUCUUAGAUAAAUUUUCAUCUUAACCGAAUUAAUAUUAGAAAACUAAUUUUUCUCUCGUUCACUUCACUUUUUGAAAUAUUUAUGAUAUAUGUGUGUGUGUGUGUGUGUGGUGUAGAAUUAAUGUUAAAAAAUAAAAAGAAAAAAAAAAGUGGUGGGACCCAUCAUAAUUGCUUUUAUUGGCCAAAAGGGCAUUAUCACCUUAUCUCUCUCUAUCCCGAUUUGGUUCUCUCUUUCUCCUUUCUGUUUUCUAUUUUCUUUUUUCUUUUUCUUUUUUUUCUUUUGCAAAAUUCAAGCUUCAAUUUCUCUUUUAUUCCUUGGAGUUUUUGGGUGCCUUUUGCGGCAAAUCGAAGAGCUCGGUGAGAUCUUCAAGUUGAUGUAAGCAAUUUCAGCUUUUGGCCACUCUAAGAAUUCCGAAAAUUUAAACCCAUUUGAGGGUUUUCUACAAAAUUGAGAAUACGAAAGGGAAGUGGCGGACGACGCUCCUCCAUAGGUUUUGACAGGAUACGAAAGGGAAGUGGCGGACAACGCUCCUCUACAGGUUUUGACGGGUUAGUGGACUGUUUUUGACAUAUUUUAUGGCUAUGAUCCCAUCAUUAUCAUUAUUAUUAUUAUUAUUAAUCGUAUUGUGUAUCGACAUAGGAAAGGACGGUAGUGCCCUUAGUUGACCUCGGGUUCGGAUAAGGACCCGAUUAGUAAUUUGGACCCUCGGGUUCGAGUUGUUACACUUUUUUUUUCAUGCUCAAAAUUUGAACAACAUUCUAAGAAAAAAAAAAAAAAAGAAAAGAAAAGAAAAGAAAAGAAAAGCAGAAAAAGAAAAAAAUUAAAAAAGUGCGAAUUAAAAAAAAAAAAAACCCCUUUUACUAUUACCCAGUUGCGAAAUACCCCUAUAAAUAUUUUUGGCAACUUAAUUUUCUUCCGAUAAGAAUUCGGAAAGAAUUCAAAACUUUAGAGGUUAUUUCUUGAUUGGAAUAUGUGGCCUCUUAAAACAAUUUCAAAAAUCAGACUUACACUCUGGCGCGCUCUUCUGUGGGCUCCCUAAUUGACUAUGCCCACCCUUCUGCCUUCUACAUAGAAUGAAUAUUAGAAUCAAAUAAACAUCGCCUUAAUGAUGCCCUAAUUGAAUAAAAAAGGACUCUCAUCAGUGAGUAGGCAGAGGUGGAAUCUGAGAGUUCUUCCUCGUCUCGUCCGAAGAAGAAGGUUUAUGGACCCAACUUUUCCCUCUUAUUCAGAGUUUGCCCGAGCUCUUAAUAGGAUUCCACGACCUCAUCGGCAGCAUUAUUACAUUCUUAUUACAUUACAGAUUGAAAUAAAAGAAUAAUGCUUGCCAUAGGCCACAUAAGAAGGAACCUUCUUCUUAUGAUGAGGUGGCCAAAUAAAAUAUCAACAUGUAUUAAACUUCUUUUAAAAAAAAUGAUGAAUACAGGGAAUAAAAACUAAUCCACCCCCUCUCUCUCUCUCUUUCCAUCUCAUUAGUAGUAUUUCCUGGCCAACAAGAAAUUGAAUGAGAUUAGAGGAAAUUGUGAAGUUAUAACAUCAAAAUAUGAUAAAUAUCAAAAGGGUUCCAAUUUUAAUCAAUUUUAUAUUGGGGUUGAUCAGAUUUGGAUCAAGAUAGGUCUCUCUCCAUUGACAGUGAUGUUGGGAGUCAAAAUCCUCUCUCUCUAUUGAGAGCAUCAUAUGCCGAGAACGAACCUAGAAAUUGCAGGCGAGGACUUGGUCUUGAGUUUGGUAACUAACAAUGAUUGUUGAGAUUGAUUGAAUUCAAGAUGUGGAUUUGUUGUAAAAGAAGAUAAACGAUAGAAAGAAAGGAAUUACAGACACGUGUAGUGGAUUUUAUUUUUAUUUUUUCCAGAUCAUAUGGUGGAUUUGGUGAAAGUAUAUGGGGUUUUAAAACCCUAGGUUUCAACAAUCGUUGCCACAUCUUCUGCAAUAGAUUGGAGGUCUACGGAUCUCGUCAACAAAAGCAAAUCUGUGUUAAAUGAUUUCCCACCUUUUUGAAGUUCUUGUUAUCGCCGGAGUUAGAGGGCAAAGAGAGGGGAAAAAAAAGAGGGAGGUGGAUUGGAGAGAGAACGGGUGUGGCGGUGGCUGUGGACGGUGGAGGUGGUUGUAAGGGAAAAAUAUUUUGUUGUGGAGAGAACGGUGGCAAUGUCAGUGGCGGCCAUGGACGGACAGUGGAGGUCGCGGCCAUAGACAGAUGCUGAAGGUCAUUUGAAGAUAAAGGAGGGAUGUAUAUAUAUAUGUGUGUGUGUGUGUGUGUGUGUAUGUGUGUGUGUAUUUGUAUAUAUAUAGCUGCGUGAGAGAGAAAGAGGGAAGGAUCAAUUUCUAUUCCCUAUAGUCAUAAUUUUUUUUUUCCUUUCAAAACUUUAACACUUGUUGAUGUUUUAUUAGGCCACAUCAGCAUAAGAAGGAAGUUCUUUCUUAUGUAGCCUAAG